AAUCAACGCUGGCGGCGUGCCUCAGACAUGCAAGUCGAACGCGAAAGUUUCCUUCGGGAAGCGAGUAGAGUGGCGCACGGGUGAGUAACACGUAAGUAAUCUACCUCGGGGUGGGGAAUAACAUCGGGAAACCGAUGCUAAUACCGCAUAAUGCAGCGGCUUCUUAUGAAGACAGUUGUUAAAGCAUUUAUGUGCCUGGAGAGGAGCUUGCGGCAGAUUAGCUAGUUGGUAAGGUAAUGGCUUACCAAGGCAACGAUCUGUAGCCGACCUGAGAGGGUGGUCGGUCACACUGACACUGAAUAACGGGUCAGACUCCUACGGGAGGCAGCAGUCGGGAAUUUUGGGCAAUGGGCGCAAGCCUGACCCAGCAACGCCGCGCGAAGGAUGAAGUAUUUCGGUAUGUAAACUUCGUAAAAUAGGAAGAAUAAAUGACGGUACUAUUUGUAAGGUCCGGCUAACUACGUGCCAGCCGCCGCU
rnacentral:rRNA from 1 species